GCUUGAACAAGCAUAUGCAUAACAGUUAUUGCAAUCUCAUGUGGGAAUUUCUUUAUCAUAGGAAUCAGCGAGGCAAUAUAAAUCUAAGGAACAUUAAACACUCCAAUGGAAUAGCAGCAGACAAAGCUAGAAAAGCAAAUGAAAAUUGAGAAAGACAUAGAAAUGAGGGACUGGAACAUUAGCAAUAACAGAGGGAGGCAAUCGUAAAAAAAAAACCAAGCAGCAAGAACUCGAUGAAAUUCAGUCAGCUGGAAACUGCGUCUGAGACUGACCCAGAACCAAUCCACAAAUAGCCUCCAAUAUUUCAACAGUAUUCUGCCCAGGAAAUUAUUUAAACAAAAUAGAUUUUGGAUCAUUUUUGAAUCAUAUCAUUCGAGCUUGAAGCUAACAAAUCAACAACCACCGUUCGAGCACCUAACUCUGCCUUGACACGCGUCACUUCUAGACAUAUUCUGACUUCUCUUAGCAAUUGAAACACAGGAUAAAUAAAGGAUCCUACCGACAUGAUGAAUCAAUAAAAUGAACUUGUUCAUGAGUAGUUCGUGCAUAAUUUAUAUGAAAGAAACUCGGACAAAGCAGAAAUUACCAUUGAAAGCAGCGCUGGACAACAAACCAUGACAUUGAAACAACUAUGUAAAAAAAGGUUAAAAGCCAAAUCCGAGCACCAUACUUGGUUCAGAUGAAUUUCGAAGCUCAAAAGUUUGCAUAGCAAGGGAAUCAAACACGAAAUACAUCCGACUAUCCAGCCUUAGCGAAAAUUUGCACAGAAUCUGCUGAGAAGCAGGGCAUUACCAAAUUUUCUCCAAUUGACUAAAAAAUGUUUGAGAGCUGAGAUUAAUCUUAUCUCAUUCAAAGGUGAAAAAGAAUUGGAAGACAUGUGCCAAGAUAGUUUGUGCAUUUCAGCAUUAGUACAUAAACAAAACUAGAAAACUUGACUGACUGGCGUCUAAUACACAAAUAGGCAUGAAACUUAAAAGUACACGAGUCACUCAAACUCAUUCAGCUAGUAAGCAAAGCAAUUCUGACAGCCAAUGACAAAGAAAAUGAGCAAAGUUAAUCUUCAACCCCUAAACAUGUACAAACAAAAAUUAAACUAUGGUCGGACAGUGACUUUCAGGAUGUAAAUCAAAGAUCACAGCAAAAUAUGAACAUACAUAAUCCAUAUCUAAAAGACUAGCAUUCUGCAUGAAAACUGAAACACCAUAACCAAUCUUCUACAAGCCUCUCGACCCCAAAACUCAAACGCCAGAUGUUCUGUAUAUCCACAAACUAGACACCAACUCGAAAAGAACAGAAACACAGAACCAAACCAAUUAUAAGAAGAGAACAGUAGAAGACAAUUUCAGAGAACUCAUUUUAAUACGUACACAGCCAAACCAAGCCAGAAAUACGCAUAAAAAUGGCAAACAAAUACACUACGACCAACAGUCACCAAGAUUCAAAUAGUUCCAAACCAGCUGAACUCGAAUUCUCCAUAUAUUUCUGAAUCAAAUGCCAAAGAUAGAGGCUACAUGAGAUAAAAGACCAACCUGAAUCAGCAAACACUUUGGAUUAAUUUUAGUUGAAUGCUAAUACCAGUGAUAUCCAGCAGCAGAGAUCAAAACAACAGCAACUUUGAAAUCAUGAAAGCCCCAGACAGAAAUUUGAAGCAAGCACCAGGGUUUAACAAUCGACACAAACCAGCUUAACUUCAAUCGAGCUCCAUUUUAGAACAAGGAAUCAUGAAAAAACAAUGCUGAGAAUUUUGUUUUUUGAUUUUGUCGAAAUGAAAGUAAAACUCACAAAAUUGAAACUCAGACUAUAUUGCCUUUUUUUUUCUUUUCUUCAAAAAAUGCCAAUGAAGAUUCAAGACUAGAAACUGAAAAAAGACUUUCAGAACCCUAGACCCUCUCUCUGAAAAAUUCCCCCUUCUGAAAUCCCAAAAUUCCUCUAGUUAUCAGGCCAACACCUGAUGAAUGAAGCGCUGGGAUUAAUCGAAAUCGAUCCCACACUCUCCAUUCAUCCAGCAUAUGCCUUCUAGAGGCUUCCAUCACGUGAGAAGGGUGUGGGGAUGAGAGAAUAUGUUAAAGGUCGUUACAAAUAUGGUGACGAGUAGGUAGGGGGAACGCUUGAGGUGAGAUGGGAGCUCACUCGCGUGAAUUUUGGGCUGAAAUAGGGGCUUGGUUCGUGGAGAAGAACAGUCGCAG
rnacentral:lncRNA from 1 species